CCUACGGGGUGCAGCAGUGGGGAAUAUUGCACAAUGGGCGCAAGACUGAUGCAGCCAUGCCGCGUGUGUGAAGAAGGCCUUCGGGUUGUAAAGCACUUUCAGCGGGGAGGAAGGCGUCAAGGUUAAUAACCUUGGCGAUUGACGUUACCCGCAGAAGAAGCACCGGCUAACUCCGUGCCAGCAGCCGCGGUAAUACGGAGGGUGCAAGCGUUAUUCGGAAUUACUGGGCGUAAAGCGCACGCAGGCGGUCUGUCAAGUCGGAUGUGAAAUCCCCGGGCUCAACCUGGGAACUGCAUUCGAAACUGGCAGGCUAGAGUCUUGUAGAGGGGGGUAGGAUUCCAGGUGUAGCGGUGAAAUGCGUAGAGAUCUGGAGGAGUACCGGUGGCGAAGGCGGCCCCCUGGACAAAGACUGACGCUCAGGUGCGAAAGCGUGGGGAGCAAACAGGAUUAGAUACCCUUGUAGUC
rnacentral:rRNA from 1 species